ACGGAUACUUAUUCUUUAUCAUUACUUCAUUCAACUUCUCGAAAAUCGAUACACAACCUCAAGCUUCCAUCCUCCUCUUUAACAAAAGAACUGGUGCUUCCCUACGGGGAAACACUAGGUCAUAAGAAACCCAUCUCUAGAAGUUCUUGUAGUUGCCGUUUUAACUCUUGCAACUCUGUGGGGCCAUUCUGUAUGGCGCUUUUGACGUCGGUGACGCGCCAGGCUCUACAUCAAUCGUAACCCAAACUGUCGGUUUGGGGUAAUCCCGGUAAAGUCUUAGGGAAAACAUCUUUACACUCUCGCCCGACUGGCAUCAUCAACCUCUGCUUUGGAUUUGUCUCUCU
rnacentral:lncRNA from 1 species